CCUACGGGAGGCAGCAGUGAGGAAUAUUGGUCAAUGGACGAGAGUCUGAACCAGCCAAGUAGCGUGAAGGAUGACUGCCCUAUGGGUUGUAAACUUCUUUUAUAAAGGAAUAAAACGAGGCACGUGUGCCUGUUUGCAUGUACUUUAUGAAUAAGGAUCGGCCAACUCCGUGCCCGCAGCCGCGGUAAUACGGAGGGUCCGGGCGUUAUCCGGAUUUAUUGGGUUUAAAGGGUGCGUAGAUGGGUUGUUAAGUCAGUCGUGAAAGUUUGCGGCUCAAACGUAAAAUUGCCAUUGAUACUGGCAGUCUUGAGUACAGUUGAGGUAGGCGGAAUGCGUGGUGUAGCGGUGAAAUGCUUAGAUAUCACGAAGAACCCCGAUUGCGAAGGCAGCUUAC
rnacentral:rRNA from 1 species